rnacentral:lncRNA from 1 species
CUUUUAGGAGAAUGAAGCACGUCUUUUUAAGGUUUCGUAUACGAUUACAGAUAGAUUGCAUUAUGUAUAAUGAGAAAGUACGAAUAUUGCAUUACGUUUUGCAUAUUGCGAUGAGUCGAUUACGAUAUAUUUUCUGCGGUCCUAUUGAAAUACGCAGAAGCAUUUUCUUAUAUACUUUUAUCUCCACUCCAUUUUAUCUAAUAGCGUAGAAUGGGCCUCAAUACCAAGCGAGGUCUAAGUGGUUUUUGAUGAUAGAAAUUUCAAAUUUAUGAUCGAAACUGUUAAAGUUGAUCGAGAAUAUUUCUAAUGUUUAAAAACUAAAUUUCAUAUAUUUUAAAAUUCGUUAUCAAGUUCAUUGAAUAAUCAAAAAAUAGACGGUUAAAAACGAAUAACCUUGUGAAAAUUGAUAUUAGACUUUUUUGAAUUCAAGAUCGGAGUUAUGAAAUAUUAUCUAAAUAAUUAAAAAAAAUCAAAAAUUUAAAUUGUUUGCUACGCUUUUAAACAAAUAAAUGACUCAUAUAGGCCAUAAAAAAUUGUGGACAUUGUGAUCCUUUGAUUACUAUGUAAAUAAAUUUUAAAAUUCAUAAAAUUUAGUGUCUAGACACAUUAAAUAUUCUAGAUCAAUUUGAAUGGUUCCGAUGAUCAACUCAAAUUUUUCAUCAUCUAAAAUGACUUAGGCUUUCGUUUGGAAUUGGAUAGAGAUUGCGUUACGUGUGGUCAGAAAGUACGAUGAAAAAAUAUUAUGUUUGUUUCUGUACAUAAUAUUGCAUUUCAAUAUCACAAUGAGUCGAUUACGAUAUAUUUUUUACGGUCCCAUCGAAAAAAGCAGAAAUAUAUUCCUAUAUACUUUUACGCUAAUUCUAUUUUAUCUAAUAGCAUCAGAUAAAUCUGAAUACCAAACUAUGUCUUAGGAGGACGAAGACUUUUGUUCUUCUAAGAGAAUGAAUUCUAAAAUUUAGUGCCCGAAGAGAAUGAAUUCUAAAUGAAAAAAAUGAAGCAGCUAGCGUACUAUCUACCUCUCAAAAAAAACAAAAAAAAUUUAGUGCCCUAUAUUUUUUUCUAAAAAAAAAUUCAUUAAUUUAUAUAUA